rnacentral:rRNA from 1 species
AUUGAACGCUGGCGGCAUGCCUUACACAUGCCAGUCGAACGGUAACGGGCCUUCGGGUGCCGACGAGUGGCGAACGGGUGAGUAAUACAUCGGAACGUGCCCGAUCGUGGGGGAUAACGAGGCGAAAGCUUUGCUAAUACCGCAUACGAUCUACGGAUGAAAGCAGGGGACCGCAAGGCCUUGCGCGGACGGAGCGGCCGAUGGCGGAUUAGGUAGUUGGUGGGAUAAAAGCUUACCAAGCCGACGAUCUGUAGCUGGUCUGAGAGGAUGAUCAGCCACACUGGGACUGAGACACGGCCCAGACUCCUACGGGAGGCAGCAGUGGGGAAUUUUGGACAAUGGGCGCAAGCCUGAUCCAGCCAUGCCGCGUGCAGGAUGAAGGCCUUCGGGUUGUAAACUGCUUUUGUACGGAACGAAAAGCCUUCUUUUAAUACAGGAGGGUCAUGACGGUACCGUAAGAAUAAGCACCGGCUAACUACGUG